rnacentral:rRNA from 1 species
GACGAACGCUGGCGGCGGGCUUAACACAUGCAAGUCGAACGGAAAGGCCCCGCCUUGGAGGCGUGCUCGAGUGGCGAACGGGUGAGGAACACGCGAGUAACCUGCCCUAUACUUUGGGAUAACUGCAGGAAACUGUGGCUACUACCGGAAAGGAGCUCCUGCUGCAUGGUGGUGUUAGGAAAGUUUCGGCGGAUGGGGAUGUACUCGCGGCUUAUCAGCUUGUUGGUGGGGUAGCGGCUUACCAAGGCUUUGGCGGGUAGCCGGCCCGAGAGGGUGACCGGCCACCUUGGCACUGAGCUACGGGCCAGAGUCCUACGGGAUGCUGAAGUGGGGUAUGUUGCACGAUGGGCGCAAGCCUGAUGCAGCAACGCCGCGUGCGGGAUGACGGCCUUCUGGUGGUAGGCCGCUUUAGCCUGUGACGAAGCGUGGAUGACGGUACUGGAUAAAGAAGCACCGGCUAACUACGUG